CCUACGGGUGGCAGCAGUGAGGAAUAUUGGUCAAUGGCCGUAAGGCUGAACCAGCCAAGUAGCGUGAGGGAAGACUGCCCUAUGGGUUGUAAACCUCUUUUAUGCGGGGAUAAAGGGGUCCACGGGGGGAUGUUUGCAGGUACCGCAUGAAUAAGGACCGGCUAAUUCCGUGCCAGCAGCCGCGGUAAUACGGAGGGUCCGGGCGUUAUCCGGAUUUAUUGGGUUUAAAGGGAGCGUAGGCCGGUCCUUAAGCGUGCCGUGAAAUUCUGUGGCUCAACCAUGAGAGUGCGGCGCGAACUGGAGAUCUUGAGUGGGCGGAAGGCAGGCGGAAUGCGUGGUGUAGCGGUGAAAUGCUUAGAUAUCACGAAGAACCCCGAUUGCGAAGGCAGCCUGCCGGCGCGUGACUGACGCUGAGGCACGAAAGCGUGGGGAUCGAACAGGAUUAGAUACCCUAGUAGUC
rnacentral:rRNA from 1 species